CAGCCGCCACGGGAAUACAGAGGUCCCGAGCGUUGUUCGGAUUCACUGGGCGUAAAGGGUGUGUAGGAGGUUGGAUAAGUCAGGUGUGAAAUCCCGCAGCUCAACUGCGGAACUGCAUUCGAUACUGUUCAACUAGAGGAUCGGAGGGGGAAGCGGAUUCUUGGUGUAGCGGUGAAAUGCGUAGAUAUCAAGAGGAACACCGGUGGCGAAGGCGGCUUCCUGGAAGAUACCUGACUCUGAAACACGAAAGCCAGGGGAGCGAAUGGGAUUAGAUACCCGGGUAGUCCCUGUCUCUUAUACA
rnacentral:rRNA from 1 species